rnacentral:rRNA from 1 species
AUUGAACGCUGGCGGCAGGCCUAACACAUGCAAGUCGAACGGUAACAGGAAGCAGCUUGCUGCUUCGCUGACGAGUGGCGGACGGGUGAGUAAUGUCUGGGAAGCUGCCUGAUGGAGGGGGACAACUACUGGAAACGGUAGCUAAUACCGCAUAAUGUCGCAAGACCAAAGAGGGGGACCUUCGGGCCUCUUGCCAUCGGAUGUGCCCAGAUGGGAUUAGCUUGUUGGUGGGGUAACGGCUCACCAAGGCGACGAUCCCUAGCUGGUCUGAGAGGAUGACCAGCCACACUGGAACUGAGACACGGUCCAGACUCCUACGGGAGGCAGCAGUGGGGAAUAUUGGACAAAGGGCGCAAGCCUGAUGCAGCCAUGCCGCGUGUAUGAAGAAGGCCUUCGGGUUGUAAAGUACUUUCAGCGGGGAGGAAGGGAGUAAAGUUAAUACCUUUGCUCAUUGACGUUACCCGCAGAAGAAGCACCGGCUAACUCCGUG